rnacentral:rRNA from 1 species
UACGGAGGAUCCAAGCGUUAUCCGGAAUCAUUGGGUUUUAAAGGGUCCGUAGGCGGUUUUGGUAAGUCAGUGGUGAAAGCCCAUCGCUCAACGGUGGAACGGCCAUUGAUACUGCCAGACUUGAAUUAUUAGGAAGUAACUAGAAUAUGUAGUGUAGCGGUGAAAUGCUUAGAGAUUACAUGGAAUACCAAUUGCGAAGGCAGGUUACUACUAAUGGAUUGACGCUGAUGGACGAAAGCGUGGGUAGCGAACAGG